UGGGGAAUAUUGGGCAAUGGGGGAAACCCUGACCCAGCAACGCCGCGUGAAGGAAGAAGGUUUUCGGAUUGUAAACUUCUGUCCUUGGGGAAGAAAAAAAUGACGGUACCCAAGGAGGAAGCCCCGGCUAACUACGUGCCAGCAGCCGCGGUAAUACGUAGGGGGCAAGCGUUGUCCGGAAUUACUGGGCGUAAAGGGAGCGUAGGCGGCUUUAUAAGUCAGAUGUGAAAUACCCGGGCUUAACCUGGGGGGUGCAUCUGAAACUGUAGAGCUUGAGUGUGGGAGAGGAAAGUGGAAUUCCUAGUGUAGCGGUGAAAUGCGUAGAUAUUAGGAGGAACACCAGUGGCGAAGGCGACUUUCUGGACCAUAACUGACGCUGAGGCUCGAAAGCGUGGGGAGCAAACA
rnacentral:rRNA from 1 species